CUUGUUUUCUUGAGUUCUCUCUCAUUUCUCUUCCGAUUCCCCUCAUUUUUUCACCGUUCUUCUUCAUUUUUUCUCCUCUAAUAUUCUCUCCUCCCCUUUGCAACCCCAAUCCCACCAUUUAUUUGGAGUUUUACCGACUUUCUCGCCGGAUCUACUCACCAAGGGAUGCUGAUCAAGCAUUUGGUCUCCAGACGAGCAAGGAGAAGCUCUCCACCACCCGUUAGUGAGCCAAGAUUUACAAAUGAAGCCCACAAGACACGAUACGCCUUAUUGUCUAGGAAGGGAUUCGGCACCAUUAGAAGAAAUUAUUGGGGAAGUUUCUUUACUCCGUCCCUUUGUUUUUGUUACAUAUCUAGCACCAUGUACUGCUGAUUAUUGUACAUUGAGGGCAAUGUACGACUCUAGGUGUGGGGAUGGGGUAUUUUAUACCUUUACAUGAGUGGCAACCAAUGAUAGCUUUGAUCUAAUGUUAAGGAGUUCCUAGCUGAAAGAAGGAUAGAUAUGAGUUGCUAUUUUUGUUAUGAUUUGUGAAAUGAAGUUCUAUUCCUACUUUAGUGCUUUCGGUAAAAUUGUCUAGCACACGCUUCUACCUUGUUCAUUCCGACUAACCCAUUGCCAUGACUUAAGAUGUUAGGUUGUUAAACUCUACAUACAAUGAUCAACUAAGAGCUCUUGGCACCCAUGUAUUUUUGUUUUUAGUCAUAAGUGAAGUUUUGCAUGAAGAAGGUUAGGAGACAUAAACUAAGACUUGUAUGCAUUUGUAAAUAAAAAAAAAAAGAGUCUAUGUCAGUAUUCCUCUGCUCGUGUAGCAUGAAUGCGUCUAUGCAGCUUGUUAUCGAGUAAGUUGGGUGGCUCUUGUGCCUAAUCAGCAUGUGCAUCCAUCGGAAAGAUUUUGUGCAAGUCUACGUUAGGCGGACUCAAAAA